UACAUUUGCCUAGAAAAACUCAGUCUG
rnacentral:piRNA from 1 species